AUGCUUGGGAAUCUGGCUUAUGGAGGGGGAUAACUGUGGGAAACUGCAGCUAAUACCGCGUAAUCUCUGAGGAGUAAAGGGUGGGACCUAUUGGCCACCUGCCAUAAGAUGAGCCCAAGUGGGAUUAGGUAGUUGGUGGGGUAAAGGCCUACCAAGCCUGCGAUCUCUAGCUGGUCUGAGAGGAUGACCAGCCACACUGGAACUGAGACACGGUCCAGACUCCUACGGGAGGCAGCAGUGGGGAAUAUUGCGCAAUGGGGGGAACCCUGACGCAGCCAUGCCGCGUGAAUGAAGAAGGCCUUCGGGUUGUAAAGUUCUUUCGGUAAUGAGGAAGGGAUGUUGUUAAAUAGAUGGCAUCAUUGACGUUAAUUACAGAAGAAGCACCGGCUAACUCCGUGCCAGCAGCCGCGGUAAUACGGAGGGUGCGAGCGUUAAUCGGAAUAACUGGGCGUAAAGGGCACGCAGGCGGACUUUUAAGUGAGAUGUGAAAUCCCCGAGCUUAACUUGGGAAUUGCAUUUCAGACUGGGAGUCUAGAGUACUUUAGGGAGGGGUAGAAUUCCACGUGUAGCGGUGAAAUGCGUAGAG
rnacentral:rRNA from 1 species